AUUCCAGCUCCAAUAGCGUACACUAAAGUUGUUGCAGUUAAAAAGCUCGUAGUCUAAUGUAUAGGAGUUGCGGGGUGGGUGUUUGGUUGGUUUUGCCGACUAGACAAUACUCGCUCCGCUUCCCGCUUGUUUUGCUCUCUUUUUAGAAGGCAAAUGUUUCACUGUAAGUAAAACAACUCGCUCAACAGCAAGGUUAUCUUGAUAUGAAUUAGUAUGGGAUGAUGAGAUAGGCUCGGUCCGUAUUUUGUUGGUUUUAGUGGUCUGAGAAUGAUGAAGAGGGACAAUUGGGGGUAUUCGUAUUUACAUGUCAGAGGUGGAAUUCUUGGAUUUUGGAAAGACGAACUAAUGCGAAAGCAUCUACCAAAGAUGUUUUCAUUA
rnacentral:rRNA from 1 species